rnacentral:lncRNA from 1 species
AUGUAGUAGGCCCAAUUACCCCGGGCCCAUACUAGACAAACAAGCCAAACCAAAUAACAAUAAACAGUCCAUUUACAACCCAAAUUCCAGCAGGCUCGUAUGGCCCAAAACCCAAAACAGCUGAAUUACAAUUCAGACCCAACUACCCAAACUAUUUUUAGCAAAAAAAGAGAAACCCUAAAAGCAAGCUGCCGUCGCCGC